rnacentral:rRNA from 1 species
AGAGUUUGAUCCUGGCUCAGGACGAACGCUGGCGGCGUGCUUAACACAUGCAAGUCGAGCGAGGCCCACCUUUCGGGGUGGUGCCCUAGCGGCGAACGGGUGAGUAACACGUGGGCAACCUGCCCUCAGCUCUGGGAUAACUCCAAGAAAUUGGUGCUAAUACCGGAUGUGACCGCUGACCGCAUGGUCUGGUGGUGGAAAGAUUCAUCGGCUGAGGAUGGGCCCGCGGCCUAUCAGCUUGUUGGUGGGGUGAUGGCCUACCAAGGCGACGACGGGUAGCCGGCCUGAGAGGGUGACCGGCCACACUGGGACUGAGACACGGCCCAGACUCCUACGGGAGGCAGCAGUGGGGAAUAUUGCGCAAUGGGCGAAAGCCUGACGCAGCGACGCCGCGUGAGGGAUGACGGCCUUCGGGUUGUAAACCUCUUUCAGCAGGGACGAAGCGCAAGUGACGGUACCUGCAGAAGAAGCACCGGCCAACUACGUGCCAGCAGCCGCGGUAAUACGUAGGGUGCAAGCGUUGUCCGGAAUUAUUGGGCGUAAAGAGCUCGUAGGCGGUCUGUCGCGUCGGCUGUGAAAACCCGAGGCUCAACCUCGGGCCUGCAGUCGAUACGGGCAAACUAGAGUACUGCAGGGGAGACUGGAAUUCCUGGUGUAGCGGUGAAAUGCGCAGAUAUCAGGAGGAACACCGGUGGCGAAGGCGGGUCUCUGGGCAGUAACUGACGCUGAGGAGCGAAAGCGUGGGGAGCGAACAGGAUUAGAUACCCUAGUAGUCC